GCCUGGGUGGCUUGGUUGGUUAAGCAUCUGACUUCGGCUCAGGUCAUGAUCUCACGGUCCGUGAGUUCGAGCCCCACGUCGGGCU
rnacentral:tRNA from 1 species